UGAUGAUAGAAGACGUGUUCCUUGGAAUAACUGUCCAUAUCACUGUUGCAGUCACUACAUAUAACAGGGCCAUUGUGUUCUGAAGGACAGAGCAAAGAUGGAACCAUCAUCAUCACAGAAGUCUCCAACUCCACACAAGGCACAGGCUGCUUCUCUCCUGCUAUGAAAAGCUGUUCAGCCUUCUCUGCAUUCUUUGCAAGCAAACUUGGGCCCUCACCACCCCUGGUCAAAAAGACUGCAAGAGCUACAUUCCAACAACCAGAAGGAAGAAAGAAUUUCAAGCUACCGGUGCAGAUUUCAGUGGUCUGGAGAAACAGCAAGAGUGCAAGUCAACAUUGAGGAAUUAUUUUUACGACAGCAAAUGUUCUCCUGAGACCUACUCUUCCUGUGUUUAACCUCUCAUUCUUGGGACUGGAAAGAAAUACACAUUAAAACCCCAGCCUCAUACACUGAGUAAAUUCACAACUAAACCCAGGCACCAGCACCAUUCUGAAAUACCAGAGCUAUAUUCCUGAAACUGACUGCUCCGAUUUGUAGCUGUAUUCCCCUCUGGUUAAAUGCGCGUACUCCAAGAACCACAUAAUGAGGCACCGUACAGUAAAUACUGUGUGUGGUUUCAGUGGGAAAUAAAUUGCAUCCAGCAGCUGAUGUGUAACCACAGGCUAGGGUUUACUUGGAUCCCAGAAUUACUCCCAUAAUAAUGAGUUCCUCCUGGCUGCUUUGUCCUCUAUGAAAACAGAAUGCCAAAGAUGGUCUUACCACAUACAAAACCUUCUGGCGGUACUGAGAAAAUGCUCUGGCCCUUCAGUGACUCUGGGUGGGCACAAGUGGCUGUCACAAAGGCCUGCAGUGUCUUGCUCACUAGCCACGGGGGCAGCCACUUCAGCUGGCAGUCACACAGGAAGCUCUCACUGUUGAUGUGGCUGCAAGAAGAAAAAUAGAUGUUUACUGAGUGACCACAAGGGAGGGUCUUUCUUAACAUACAGCAUGAUCAUUUACUUUCCACUGGCUUCUGGUGCCAGCACCACCGUAUUACAUAGGGAUAUACUUUUCCUCGUAGGUCUUCUCCGGUAACUGAGAACAAUGCAUAUAAUCUACAUGGAGAUCUCUGCACCUCUAACACACUCCCAGUGAUGCAGAUGUGCACCCAGAGUCACAAUACUCUGCAGCCUGACUCUUGUCCUCAGACACUCUCCUGUGUGACCCUGGGGAUACCUUCCAACCAUUCCUGACUUUGGAUACACUGAACAGUGGCAGGAGGCGCUUUGCCCUUUCUGGUGUUUACACUUUUCUGACCAGCUAUUUGGACUUUCAAA